UACAGAGGAGCCAAGCGCUGUCCGGAUUGACUGGGCGUAAAGCGCACGCAGGCGGACGCGCGCGUGGGGUGUGAAAUCUGGCCGCUUAACGGCCAGGCGCCAUCCCAUACGGCGCGUCUGGAGUGAUGCAGAGGUCGGUGGAAUUGCCGGUGUAGUGGUGAAAUGCGUAGAGAUCGGCAGGAACACCCAGGGGGAAACCAGCCGACUGGGCAUCUACUGACGCUGAGGUGCGAGAGCGUGGGGAGCGAACCGG
rnacentral:rRNA from 1 species